rnacentral:misc_RNA from 1 species
CCUCCUUAUACGAUUUAGAACUUAUUUGUUCGUAGUGUCCACACAGAUGAUUGUUAGUUAGUUUUACCCUUUGGGUUAACUAAUUAAUAUGCUCUUUAAAAAUUUGGAAAAGCUGAUAAUAAAAUUCGUAUGAAUAACAUUGUUAUUUGUACAGAGUUUUCAAAAGUAAAAAAGAAUGAUAGCAGUAUCAUUCAGUGCCAAUUUAAUCCUCGGAUUAAUUGGUAUCUACUUUAGUAUUCAAUAUUAACUUCUGGCGAAGUUAAACUGUCACGAAACAAAGACCCGUUUGGGUUGUAUGGUUAAGUGACUAAGCGUACACGGUGGAUGCCUUGGCAGUUGGAGGCGAUGAAGGACGUAUUAACUUGCGAUAAGCCUAGUCAAGCUAGUAAAAAGCACUUGAGACUAGGAUUUCCGA